AACGAACGCUGGCGGCAUGCCUAACACAUGCAAGUCGAACGAGACCUUCGGGUCUAGUGGCGCACGGGUGCGUAACGCGUGGGAACCUGCCCUUAGGUUCGGAAUAACUCCCCGAAAGGGGUGCUCAUACCGGAUAAUGUCUUCGGGCCAAAGAUUUAUCGCCUUUGGGUGGGCCCGGGUUGGAUUAGCUGGUUGGGAGGGUAAAAGCCUACCAAGGCGACGAUCCAUAGCUGGUUUGGGAGGAUGAUCAACCACACUGGGACUGAGACACGGCCCAGACUCCUACGGGAGGCAGCAGUGGGGAAUAUUGGACAAUGGGCGAAAGCCUGAUCAAGCAAUGCCGCGUGAGUGAUGAAGGCCUUAGGGUUGUAAAGCUCUUUUACCCGGGAUGAUAAUGACAGUACCGGGAGAAUAAGCUCCGGCUAACUACGUG
rnacentral:rRNA from 1 species